AAGAAUAAAAAAACAUUUAUUGAAGUUGCACAAAACAGAAAACCAAAACACAUCACCAGUCAAUGUUUACUGACCUAAUCUCACUGGUCUAUUCUCACUGACCUAAUGAUACCAGCAGAUUCCCAUUGACAUAAUGACAACUCUAAAACAGAAUUUCCUUUGCACUGCUGUCCUAAUAAAAGCUAGCAUGGAUUGGCUUUCUAAUCAUAGACAACUGAACGCAAUACAAAGGUUUAAAAUCAAAUCAACACUACAUUCAAUGUAAUCAUUAAAAUUAAGUAACUAGUACUCCCAAAUCCAAUCCACAUUUAAAAUUAGUUUCCUCUAUCAGAGAUAAAUAACUAAUGUUAAUUACAAAAAAAAAAUUUAAAAAAAAACAUUUAGAUUUUUCACUAAUUUUCACCCUUUAAAUGACAUUUGUUAUGAGCCUUUGUACUAUCUUCCAUUACAAAGUAAGCACAUACCUUCGUACUUGUGAUGUAUGUACUUGGAUCAAACGAAAACAAAAAGGUUAAAAAGACAACUUUAAACAGAUUCAGAAAAAUAAAAUUUAGAGACAAAACAAAGUUCUGUCACAUCAUCAAUCAAUUCAGUCA